UGGAUAACCUGCCCUCGGCACCGGAAUAGCCCGGGGAAACUCGGAUUAAUGCCGGAUAGCCCCACAGCCCGCAGGGGCGGUGGGAAAAGGUAGCUUCGGCCUCUGGCCGAGGAUGGGUCCGCGGCGGAUUAGCUAGUUGGUGGGGUAACGGCCCACCAAGGCGACGAUCCGUAGCUGGUCUGAGAGGACGAACAGCCACACUGGGACUGAGACACGGCCCAGACUCCUACGGGAGGCAG
rnacentral:rRNA from 1 species